AUUGAACGCUGGCGGCAGGCCUAACACAUGCAAGUCGAGCGGAUGAAGGGAGCUUGCUCCUGGAUUCAGCGGCGGACGGGUGAGUAAUGCCUAGGAAUCUGCCUGGUAGUGGGGGAUAACGUCCGGAAACGGGCGCUAAUACCGCAUACGUCCUGAGGGAGAAAGUGGGGGAUCUUCGGACCUCACGCUAUCAGAUGAGCCUAGGUCGGAUUAGCUAGUUGGUGGGGUAAAGGCCUACCAAGGCGACGAUCCGUAACUGGUCUGAGAGGAUGAUCAGUCACACUGGAACUGAGACACGGUCCAGACUCCUACGGGAGGCAGCAGUGGGGAAUAUUGGACAAUGGGCGAAAGCCUGAUGCAGCCAUGCCGCGUGUGUGAAGAAGGUCUUCGGAUUGUAAAGCACUGUAAGUUGGGAGGAAGGGCAGUAAGUUAAUACCUGGCUGUUUUGACGUUACCAACAGAAUAAGCACCGGCUAACUUCGUG
rnacentral:rRNA from 1 species